GAUGAACGCUAGCGGCAGGCUUAACACAUGCAAGUCGAGGGGCAGCGCGGGAUAGCAAUAUCCUGGCGGCGACCGGCGGAAGGGUGCGUAACGCGUGAGCGACAUGCCCGUUGCCCGGGGACAACCGGUGGAAACGCCGACUAAUCCCCGAUGGGAUAUUGUGCCGCAUGGCACGAUAUUGAAAGUUACGGCGGCGACGGAUUGGCUCGCGUCCGAUUAGCUGGUUGGCGGGGUAACGGCCCACCAAGGCUGCGAUCGGUAGGGGUUCUGAGAGGAAGGCCCCCCACAAGGGGACUGAGACACGGCCCAUACUCCUACGGGAGGCAGCAGUGAGGAAUAUUGGACAAUGGGCGGAAGCCUGAACCAGCCAUGCCGCGUGCGGGAAGGAGGCCCUAUGGGCUGUGAACCGCUUUUGCCUGGGGGCAAUAAGGGCGUCGCGCACGUCCGAUGAGAGUACCAGGCGAAUAAGCAUCGGCUAACUCCGUG
rnacentral:rRNA from 1 species